rnacentral:rRNA from 1 species
CCCGAAGCCCGUGGCUCAACCCGCAAGGGGGAGAGCGGUCGAAGGUGGGACUGGCGAUUGGGACGAAGUCGUAACAAGGUAGCCGUACCGGAAGGUGCGGCUGGAUCACCUCCUUUCUAAGGAGCA